rnacentral:rRNA from 1 species
GAUGAACGCUGGCGGCGUGCCUAAUACAUGCAAGUCGAGCGAACAGACGAGGAGCUUGCUCCUCUGACGUUAGCGGCGGAAGGGUGAGUAACACGUGGAUAACCUACCUAUAAGACUGGGAUAACUUCGGGAAACCGGAGCUAAUACCGGAUAAUAUAUUGAACCGCAUUGUUCAAUAGUGAAAGACGGUUUUGCUGUCACUUAUAGACGGAUCCGCGCCGCAUUAGCAAGUUGGUAAGGUAACGGCUUACCAAGGCAACGACGCGUAGCCGACCUGAGAGGGUGAUCGGCCACACGGGAACUGAGACACGGUCCAGACUCCUACGGGGGGCAGCAGUAGGGAAUCUUCCGCAAUGGGCGAAAGCCUGACGGAGCAACGCCGCGUGAGUGAUGAAGGUCUUCGGAUCGUAAAACUCUGUUAUUAGGGAAGAACAAAUGUGUAAGUAACUAUGAACGUCUUGACGGUACCUAAUCAGAAAGCUACGGCUAACUACGUG